UACGGAGGGUGCGAGCGUUAAUCGGAAUUACUGGGCGUAAAGCGUGCGCAGGCGGUUCGUUGUGUCGGUGGUGAAAGCCCCGGGCUUAACCUGGGAAUGGCCAUGGAAACUGGCGAACUGGAGUGUGGCAGAGGGGGGUGGAAUUCCGCGUGUAGCAGUGAAAUGCGUAGAGAUGCGGAGGAACACCGAUGGCGAAGGCAGCCCCCUGGGCUAGCACUGACGCCUCAGGCACGAAAGCGUGGGGAGCAAACAGG
rnacentral:rRNA from 1 species